rnacentral:rRNA from 1 species
CUGUCAGCAUGGGUUGGGCGGGAGGGAAAACCCCUGGGCUCGACCCCCAGACCCGCCUCCUGCCCGACCGAGGAAUCAAGGGCGCCGCCGCUCCGUCGGUGGUUUUCUGAACACUGCGCCCUGAGGAUGCUGGCAGAAGGUGUCUAAUCGGCCCGUCUUGAAACACGGACCAAGGAGUCUAACAUGUAUGCGAGCUGGUGGGUUGCAAGCCCAUGAAGCGCAAGUAACCUGACUGGUGCCAAGGCCGGGCGUUGCCGCCCGGCCCGCAGCAUCGACCAACCUGGACGUUUCUACCAAGGGUUUGAGUACGAGCAUACCUGUUGGGACCCGAAAGAUGGUGAACUAUGCCUGAGCAGGGCGAAGCCAGAGGAAACUCUGGUGGAGGCUCGUAGAUGUGCUGACGUGCAAAUCGCUUUUCGGACUUGGGUAUAGGGGCGAAAGACUAAUCGAACCAUCUAGUAGCUGGUUCCCUCCGAAGUUUCCCCCAGGAUAGCUGGAGCUCAUGUAUGCAGUUGUAUCGGGUAAAGCGAAUGAUUAGAGGUACCGGGGGCGCAACGCCUCCGACCUAUUCUCAAACUUUAAAUAGGUACGAAGUCUGGGUUGCUUGACUGAACCCAGGCCCUCAAUGCGAGCUCCAAGUGGGCCAUUUUUGGUAAGCAGAACUGGCGAUGCGGGAUG